AGCAACUACACUCCAGUAAAAAUUAAUUUUUAAGAAAAAGGAGGCAGAAGGGGGGAUCAGAGAGAUGCCAUAUGAAAAAGACUCCCCUUUGCUGUUUUUGAAGUUGGAUGGAGGGGCCAUCAGCCAGUGAGUACCAGGCUACCGCUUCAGCUGACAACCAGCAAGCAAACAGAGACCUCUGUCCUACAAUCCCAAGGAACUGAAUUCUGCCAAUACCUGAAAGGGCAGUUAAUAGGAUCCUUCCCUAGAACCUUGCAGUCACCCACACCUGAAUCUUAACCCACCAAGACCUGAACCAAACUUCUAACCUGCAGAACGUGAGAUGAUACAUGUGCGUGUUGUUUAAGCUGCUACAUUUAUGGGAAUUAGAAUGGCUGCAACAGGAAACUCAAACCAGGUGGGAACCAGGUAGGUUCUGAGCAAGAGACAGAGGCGACCCGGCUCAGGUGUUCACCGGCGCCCCCUGGGGGCUGCGGGAGAAGUAGACGUCAGAGCGAGGGCAGGAGCCUGGGACCAGGGCAGAGAGGCUGCACUGUCCAGGAGACCUGGGUUCGAUCCCUGGGUCAGGAUGAUCCCCUGCAGCAAGGAAUCAAGUCAGCGCUGACUGGAGGCUUCUGACCUGAGCGUCUGGAACCCCCAGCUCCCUCCCGCUCCCAGCUCCACCAGCACCCGACUCCCCUUCUUGUCCCCCCAGCCUUGAUUUAGCCUUUUCAAGUGGAGGCCAUAUUCUGCCUUCUCCUCUGAGCCUUUGAUCCUGCCUCAAGGCCUCUCACUCAUCGCAUCUGCUCUCUUCAAGACCGGAAGACCGGAAGUCAGAUGAAGGGGAUCUUCCUGACCCAGGGUCUCCUGCAUUGGCAGAUGGAUUUCACUGAGCCACCAAGGAAGCCCAACUCACAUUUCGAGGCUCUCAUUUCAGGCUGGAAACCUCACAUUGCCAGAGAUGGACCACCAGAUACCAAGGAAACAUUGGCUGAAAGAAUUUGAAUUCGGAAGAUGGAGCCCAUUGGGGAAAAAAAAAAUCAAAUAGAUAUUCAUUGUUUAAGGCAAAGAAACGUGGUGCCACUCCUGCUUCUGGGAUCCAAGGCUACCCAACUCUAGCCUCCUCUGAACUCCAGGCUUGGCCCAAAGUCCCAGGACACAGCCUGACCCUUGGUGCACCUCCAUCACCAGUACCAUCCAUAGACUCUGGAACUGAAGGGGGAUUUUGGGAGAAAAAAUAUCGUCUGUCUAUAGGUAUCAACAUUGAGUGUGUUCAUGCUCAGUCGCUUGGUCGUGUCCAACUCUUUGUGACCCUAUGGACUGUAGCCCACCAGGCUCCUCUGUCCAUGACAUUUUUCCAGGCAAGAAUACUGGAGUGAGUUGCUAU